AGUCGAGCGAUUCUCUUCGGAGAAGAGCGGCGGACGGGUGAGUAACGCGUGGGCAACCUGCCCUGUACACACGGAUAACACACCGAAAGGUAUGCUAAUACGAGAUAACAUAAGAAAUUCGCAUGUUUUUCUUAUCAAAGCUCCGGCGGUACAGGAUGGACCCGCGUCUGAUUAGCUAGUUGGUGAGGUAACGGCUCACCAAGGCGACGAUCAGUAGCCGACCUGAGAGGGUGAUCGGCCACAUUGGAACUGAGACACGGUCCAAACUCCUACGGGAGGCAGCAGUGGGGAAUAUUGCACAAUGGGCGAAAGCCUGAUGCAGCAACGCCGCGUGAGCGAUGAAGGCCUUCGGGUCGUAAAGCUCUGUCCUCAAGGAAGAUAAUGACGGUACUUGAGGAGGAAGCCCCGGCUAACUACGUGCCAGCAGCCGCGGUAAUACGUAGGGGGCUAGCGUUAUCCGGAUUUACUGGGCGUAAAGGGUGCGUAGGCGGUCUUUUAAGUCAGGAGUGAAAGGCUACGGCUCAACCGUAGUAAGCUCUUGAAACUGGAGGACUUGAGUGCAGGAGAGGAGAGUGGAAUUCCUAGUGUAGCGGUGAAAUGCGUAGAUAUUAGGAGGAACACCAGUAGCGAAGGCGGCUCUCUGGACUGUA
rnacentral:rRNA from 1 species